rnacentral:rRNA from 1 species
AUGCCGAGAGCGCUCCUGGAGUCCACGGCGGCGGCGGCGUGGGGCUUCCUGCCGCCGUGGCUCGCGGCGCUCGGCAUGGUUGUGGCGUCGGUCUGGAUCGUCUCGUUCGCCGUGUUCGUGUGCGGCCGCAGCAGCUCACGCGACGACGACGACGACGUCCCCAAGAAGAAGCCCGCCCCUGCUGCCACCGCCCCGGAGGCGACCAGGUUCGCGAGUGUCGCCCCGGCCCCGAAGACGAGCACGCCCGCGAGUUUCGCCACGCCCUCCAUGGCGAGCCGGCCCGCAAGUGUCGCCACGGCCCCAAAGACGAGAACGCCUGCGAGUUUCGCCGCGGCCCCGAUGACGAGCACGCCCGCGAGUGUCGCCACGGCUCCGAUGGCGAGCCGACCCGCGAGUGUCGCCGCAGCAGCGAAGGCGAGCACGCCCGUUAAUGUCGCCACGGACCCGACGUCGAGAUGGCCCGUGAGUGUCGCCACGGUCCCGAUGGCGAGCCGACCCGCGAGUGUCGCCACGGCCCCGAAGGCGAGCACGCCCGUGAGUGUCGCCACGGACCCGAAGGUGAGAUGGCCCGUCACCGUGAGUCUCGCCACGGCCUCGAUGGCGAGCCGGCCGGCGAGUGUCGCCACGGAAGCGAAGACAAGCAGGCCGGCCAGCGUCGCGCCCACCACGGUUAGCUCGUCGAGGUCCGGGAGCACGGUGGUGGACACGAUGGGGUGGUACGGAGCCGCGUACGCCUCCAGUGGAUGCCAUGGCCACGGCCACUGCCAUGGGCACGGAGGAGGUGGCGGUGGCUGCGGUGGCGGCGGAGGAAGUGGCGGUGGUGGCGGUGGAUGCGGUGGCGGCGGAGGUGGUGGUGGUGGUGGCGGUGGCGGUGGCUGCGGCGGCUGCUAA